rnacentral:rRNA from 1 species
GACGAACGCUGGCGGCGUGCUUAACACAUGCAAGUCGAGCUGAAAGGCCCCUUUGGGGGUACUCGAGCGGCGAACGGGUGAGUAACACGUGAGUAAUCUGCCCUUCACUUUGGGAUAACCCCCGGAAACGGGAGCUAAUACCGGAUACGACCACCGUCUGCAUGGACUGGUGGUGGAAACUUUUUUGGGUGGGGGAUGUGCUCGCGGCCUAUCAGCUUGUUGGUGGGGUAAUGGCCUACCAAGGCUUUGACGGGUAGCCGGCCUGAGAGGGUGACCGGCCACACUGGGACUGAGACACGGCCCAGACUCCUACGGGAGGCAGCAGUGGGGAAUAUUGGACAAUGGGCGGAAGCCUGAUCCAGCAACGCCGCGUGAGGGAUGACGGCCUUCGGGUUGUAAACCUCUUUCAGCACCGACGAAGCGUGAGUGACGGUAGGUGCAGAAGAAGGACCGGCCAACUACGUGCCAGCCGCCGCAGUAAAAC